rnacentral:lncRNA from 10 species
CAAGGAACACUCAGGACUGCCCACAGCCGCCAGAAGCUGGAAGAGCAGGAAGGAUCCUCCCCUGCAGGGUUCAGAGGGGGCACGGCCCUGCAGACACCUUGAUUUUGGACUUGUAGCCCUUGGAACUGUGAGACAAUCAAGUUCUGCUGUUUUAAGCCACCCAGUUUGGAGUACUUGGUUGAUAUUAGCUCUAGGACACUAAGACAGAUUUUCACUGAUCUCUUUCCAGGUUUCCAAAGGUAGAUUUAACCAUUUGAAUGGAAACCAUGCGCCAGCCACUUUUGUGGGGGGUUUCCCAAAGUGUGUUCUGGAACUGCAGGAUGUCGACGGUUGUUGAUGGUUGACCUGGAAAAAUAUGUGAAAAGGGGUUCUGUGGUCGACACGAUUUGGAUGUGUGUCCAAGCCCAAAUCUCAUGUCAAAUUAUAAUCCCCAGUGUUGGAGGUGGGGCCAGGUGGGAGGUGACUGGAUCACAGGAGCGGAUUUCUCAUGAAUGGUUUAGCGCCAUCCCGUCAGUGCAGGUCUCAUGAUGAGUCCCCGACGCUAUUGCUCUGGAAGGGACCUCAGAGGCAACCUCGGAGGGGGGCACUUCAGCGGGAACAGGAGGGGCCAGGCCCACAGCGGUGAGGCGGCUCCCCAGUGAGUCCCCUGCCUCCGAGUGGGGUCUCCAGAUUUGGACUCAGCCCUCCUCCUGCCCUCAGCCUCGCAGCUCCACCUCCUCCAGAUGGCUGCAGUGAGC